rnacentral:tRNA from 2 species
GUCCUCGUAGCUCAGUUGGAUAGAGCAUACGCCUUCUAAGCGUACGGUCGAAGGUUCGAAUCCUUUCGAGGACGCCA